GAUGUCUCUUCAUGGUCGACGGAAUUGAAGAACCCCCGCCACCAAGACGAAGAAGACGAUAUAUGUCCCACAAUCAAUCUUUAGCAAUUUGUUUGUUUCUUAGUUUGUGAAACAAAAAAAUAUCUUGAGGGUUUGGUCCACUUACUCUCUCAAUGGUUUGGUAAUUUAUAUUCUGAAAACACUUGUGAUUAUUGUUUUGACUAG
rnacentral:lncRNA from 1 species